GUGAUAUAUGUGAGGUCUCUGUGAUAAAUGUGAGGUCUCUGAGCACUGCGAUGUCUCUGUGGUAUAUAAAUUCCUUGAGGUCUGUACUAUGACGUGUCAUUUUCGCUCAUGUUGCUGAAUGUUUUUAAUUAUUUUUGAACCUAACAAAACAUGGAUCCAUAAACAAAAAUUCUUAAUGAAUUAUUUUAUUUCAUAUUGAAUAAGGGAAAUAGCUUCUACAUUGGUGGUUGAUAGAGUUUUAAGGACGGAGUUCUUCCCCUUUAGAUAAGCUUUUGUUUUUUGUUUUGAAAAGGAUUUUUUUUUCUUCUUAGAAUGGCUACAGAUUCCAACCGAACCCGUGUACAACUUGUUACUGCACCGACGGGAAAUACGACUGUUCCACUAUCGCGUGUGGCUGGCCCAGGUGUAAAGGAAAUGCAAGGCCUUCCGUAAAGAAAGGCCACUGCUGUCCAUCGUGUCCUUAGAUAAGAGACUGUGGUAUCGGCCACUUUUAAUCUACUGUAAUAUUUGUAUGGUUGUAUGAUUAGCAAUAUGAAGAUAAAUUAAAAUUGUCAAUGUAAAUGUUUAUUUUUGUUCGUUUUUUUUUUGUUUAAAUUAUGAUGCUUAUGAGGUUUGUCAUUUCUGUAAUUUCUGUGUAAUUUGUGAAACUUUUAAAGUCUCUGACGAUAGUGAUACCCCUGAGCUCUCUGAGGUCGUUGUGAUGUCUGUGAGGUCUCUGUGGUGCCUCUGAGGUCUCUGAAAUGUCUGUGAGGUUUCUGUGAUGUCUCUGUGAGGUCUCUGUGAUGUCUGUGAGGUCUCUGUGAUAUAUGUGAGGUCUCUGUGAUAAAUGUGAGGUCUCUGAGCACUGCGAUGUCUCUGUGGUAUAUAAAUUCCUUGAGGUCUGUAUUAUGACGUGUCAUUUUUGCUCAUGUUGCUGAAUGUUAUUAAUUAUUUUUGAACCUAACAAAACAUGGAUCAAUAAACAAAAAUUCUUAAUGAAUUAUUUUAUUUCAUAUUGAAUAAGGGAAAUAGCUUCUACAUUGGUGGUUGAUAGAGUUUUAAGGACGGAGUUCUUCCCCUUUAGAUAAGCUUUUGUGUUUUUGUUUUGAAAAGGAUUUUUUUUUUCUUCUUAGAAUGGCUAUAGAUUCAAACCGAACCCGUGUACAACUUGUUACUGCACCGACGGGAAAUACGACUGUGCCACUAUCGCGUGUGGCUGGCCCAGGUGUAAAGGAAAUGCAAGGCCUUCCGUAAAGAAAGGCCACUGCUGUCCAUCGUGUCCUUAGAUAAGAGACUGUGGUAUCGGCCACUUUUAAUCUACUGUAAUAUUUGUAUGGUUGUAUGAUUAGCAAUAUAAGGAUAAAUUAAAAUUGUCAAUGUAAAUUUUUAUUUUUGUUCGAUUUUUUUUUUUGAAAUUAUGAUGCUUAUGAGGUUUGUCAUUUCUGUAAUUUCUGUGAGAUUUGUGAAACUUUUAAAGUCUCUGACGAUAGGGAUACCCCUGAACUCUCUAAGGUCGUUGUGAUGUCUGUGAGGUCUCUGUGGUGCCUCUGAGGUCUCUGAAAUGUCUGUGAGGUUUCUGUGAUGUCUCUGUGAGGUCUCUGUGGGGUCUGUGAGGUCUUUGUGGGGUCUGUGAGGUCUUUGUGGUAUAUGUGAGGUCUCUGAGCAAUGCGAUGUCUCUGUGGUAUAUAAAUUCCUUGAGGUCUGUAUUAUGACGUGUCAUUUUUGCUCAUGUUGCUGAAUGUUAUUAAUUAUUUUUGAACCUAACAAAACAUGGAUCAAUAAAAAAAUAAUCUUCAUGAAUUAUUUUAUUUGAUAUUGAAUAAGGGAAAUAGCUUCUACAUUGGUGGUUGAUAGAGUUUUAAGGACGGAGUUCUUCCCCUUUAAAUAAGCUUUUGUUUUUUGUUUUGAAAAGGAUUUUUUUUUUCU